UACAGAGGUCUCAAGCGUUGUUCGGAUUCAUUGGGCGUAAAGGGUGCGUAGGCGGCGCGGUAAGUCGGGUGUGAAAUCCCUCAGCUCAACUGAGGAACGGCGCCCGAAACUGCUGUGCUCGAGGAAGAUAGAGGUACGCGGAACUUAGGGUGGAGCGGUGAAAUGCGUUGAUAUCCUAAGGAACACCGGUGGCGAAAGCGGCGUACUGGGUCUUUUCUGACGCUGAGGCACGAAAGCUAGGGUAGCGAACGGG
rnacentral:rRNA from 1 species